UAUAGGUUUUCUGCGGUCUCACGAUUGGUAUAAUUCAAUUUGGGUCAUUGUGGAUAGGAUGACUAAGUCUGCUCAUUUCUUUCCUGUGAGGACUAACUACUUAAGAGAGGAUUAAGCCAAGUAGUUCAUUUAGGAGAUAGAUAAGUUGCAUGGUGUGCCAGUGUCCAUUAUUUUAGACUGAGGUACGUAGUUUUCUUCUCACUUUUGGUGUUCAUUUUAG
rnacentral:lncRNA from 1 species